UACGUAGGGUGCAAGCGUUGUCCGGAAUUAUUGGGCGUAAAGAGCUCGUAGGCGGUCUGUCACGUCUGCUGUGAAAACUCGGGGCUUAACCCCGGGCCUGCAGUGGGUACGGGCAGACUAGAGUGCGGUAGGGGAGACUGGAAUUCCUGGUGUAGCGGUGAAAUGCGCAGAUAUCGGGAGGAACACCUAUGGCGAAGGCAGCUCGCUGGGACGUUACUGACGCUGAGACGCGAAGCGUGGGGAGCAAACAGG
rnacentral:rRNA from 1 species